GGGGAAGACAGGUAAUAAGAGAGAGGGGAAGACAGGUAAUAAGAGAGGGGAAGACAGGUAAUAAGAGAGGGGGGAAGACAGGUAAUAAGAGUGGGGAAGAGAGGGGAAGACAGGUAAUAAGAGAGAGGGGAAGACAGGUAAUAAGAGAGGGGAAGACAGGUAAUAAGAGAGGGGGGAAGACAGGUAAUAAGAGUGGGGAAGAGAGGGGAAGACAGGUAAUAAGAGAGAGGGGAAGACAGGUAAUAAGAGAGGGGAAGAC